rnacentral:rRNA from 2 species
UUUGAGUGAGUGGCGAACUGGUGAGUAACACGUGGGAAACCUGCCCAGAAGCGGGGGAUAACACCUGGAAACAGAUGCUAAUACCGCAUAACAACUUGGACCGCAGGGUCCGAGUUUGAAAGAUGGCUUCGGCUAUCACUUUUGGAUGGUCCCGCGGCGUAUUAGCUAGAUGGUGGGGUAACGGCUCACCAUGGCAAUGAUACGUAGCCGACCUGAGAGGGUAAUCGGCCACAUUGGGACUGAGACACGGCCCAAACUCCUACGGGAGGCAGCAGUAGGGAAUCUUCCACAAUGGACGAAAGUCUGAUGGAGCAACGCCGCGUGAGUGAAGAAGGGUUUCGGCUCGUAAAACUCUGUUGUUAAAGAAGAACAUAUCUGAGAGUAACUGUUCAGGUAUUGACGGUAUUUAACCAGAAAGCCACGGCUAACUACGUGCCAGCAGCCGCGGUAAUACGUAGGUGGAAGCGUUGUCCGGAUUUAUUGGGCGUAAAGCGAGCGCAGGCGGUUUUUUAAGUCUGAUGUGAAAGCCUUCGGCUCAACCGAAGAAGUGCAUCGGAAACUGGGAAACUUGAGUGCAGAAGAGGACAGUGGAACUCCAUGUGUAGCGGUGAAAUGCG